AGUCAAGUAAUUAAGUGCAUGUGGUGGAUGCCUUGGCAGUCAGAGGCGAUGAAAGACGUGAUAGCCUGCGAAAAGCUCCGGGGAGGCGGCAAAUAUCCUUUGAUCGGAGAUGUCUGAAUGGGGAACCCACCUACUUUAAGGUAGGUAUUGCAACAUGAAUACAUAGUGUUGCAAGGCGAACGAGGGGAAGUGAAACAUCUCAGUACCCUUAGGAAAAGAAAUCAAUUGAGAUUCCCUCAGUAGCGGCGAGCGAACGGGGAUCAGCCCAUUAAGUUAUGUGUGUUUUAGUGGAACGCUCUGGGAAGUGCGAACGUAGAGGGUGAUAUUCCCGUACACGAAAGGGCACACAUAAUGAUGACGAGUAGGGCGAGGCACGUGAAACCUUGUCUGAAUAUGGGGGACCAUCCUCCAAGGCUAAAUACUCCUGACUGACCGAUAGUGAACCAGUACCGUGAGGGAAAGGCGAAAAGAACCCCUGUGAGGGGAGUGAAAUAGAUCCUGAAACCGCAUGCAUACAAGCAGUGGGAGCACCUUCGUGGUGUGACUGCGUACCUUUUUUGUAUAAUGGGUCAGCGACUUAUAUUCAGUAGCGAGGUUAACCGUAUAGGGGAGCCGUAGAGAAAUCGAGUCUUAAUAGGGCGUUUAGUUGCUGGGUAUAGACCCGAAACCAGGCGAUCUAUCCAUGAGCAGGUUGAAGGUUGGGUAACACUAACUGGAGGACCGAACCCACUGUCGUUGAAAAGCCAGGGGAUGACUUGUGGAUAGGGGUGAAAGGCUAAUCAAGCCUGGUGAUAGCUGGUUCUCCCCGAAAGCUAUUUAGGUAGCGCCUCGGACGAAUACCAUAGGGGGUAGAGCACUGUUUCGGCUGGGGGUCAUCCCGACUUACCAAACCGAUGCAAACUCCGAAUACCUAUGAGUACUAUCCGGGAGACAGACUGCGGGUGCUAACGUCCGUAGUCAAGAGGAAAACAAUCCAGACCGCCAGCUAAGGCCCCAAAAUCAUAGUUAAGUGGGAAACGAUGUGGGAAGGCAUAGACAGCUAGGAGGUUGGCUUAGAAGCAGCCACCCUUUAAAGAAAGCGUAAUAGCUCACUAGUCGAGUCGGCCUGCGCGGAAGAUGUAACGGGGCUAAAACUAUGUGCCGAAGCUGCGGAUGUAUACUUUGUAUACGUGGUAGGGGAGCGUUCUGUAAGCCGAUGAAGGUGUGUUGAGAAGCAUGCUGGAGGUAUCAGAAGUGCGAAUGCUGACGUGAGUAACGACAAAACGGGUGAAAAACCCGUUCGCCGAAAGACCAAGGGUUCCAGUCCAACGUUAAUCGGGGCUGGGUGAGUCGACCCUAAGGCGAGGCCGAAAGGCGUAGUCGAUGGGAAAAUGGUUAAUAUUCCAUUACUUCUGUGUAAUGCGAUGAGAGGACGGAGAAGGCUAAAUCAGCCUGGCGUUGGUUGUCCAGGUGAAAGGAUGUAGGCAUGUAUCUUAGGCAAAUCCGGGGUACUCUAUGCUGAGAUCUGAUAGCAAGCUGUACUUGUACAGCGAAGUGGUUGAUGCCAUGCUUCCAGGAAAAGUCUCUAAGCUUCAGUUACACAGGAAUCGUACCCGAAACCGACACAGGUGGUCAGGUCGAGUAGACCAAGGCGCUUGAGAGAACUCUGCUGAAGGAACUAGGCAAAAUGGUACCGUAACUUCGGGAGAAGGUACGCUGUUGUUGGUGAUGGAACUCGCUUCCUGAGCUGACGACAGCCGCAGAAACCAGGCCGCUGCAACUGUUUAUUAAAAACAUAGCACUCUGCAAACACGAAAGUGGACGUAUAGGGUGUGAUGCCUGCCCGGUGCUGGAAGGUUAAUUGAUGGGGUUAGCGUAAGCGAAGCUCUUGAUCGAAGCCCCAGUAAACGGCGGCCGUAACUAUAACGGUCCUAAGGUAGCGAAAUUCCUUGUCGGGUAAGUUCCGACCUGCACGAAUGGCAUAAUGAUGGCGGCGCUGUCUCCAGCAGAGGCUCAGUGAAAUCGAAAUCGCUGUGAAGAUGCAGUGUACCCGCGGCUAGACGGAAAGACCCCGUGAACCUUUACUGCAGCUUGACACUGAACUUUGACCUUACUUGUGUAGGAUAGGUGGGAGGCUUUGAAGCUGGAACGCUAGUUCCAGUGGAGCCGUCCUUGAAAUACCACCCUGGUAAUGUUGAGGUUCUAACUCUGUCCCGUGAUCCGGGACGAGGACCGUGUCUGGUGGGUAGUUUGACUGGGGCGGUCUCCUCCUAAAGAGUAACGGAGGAGUACGAAGGUGCGCUCAGCGUGGUCGGAAAUCACGCGUAGAGUAUAAAGGCAAAAGCGCGCUUAACUGCGAGACCCACAAGUCGAGCAGGUACGAAAGUAGGUCUUAGUGAUCCGGUGGUUCUGUAUGGAAGGGCCAUCGCUCAACGGAUAAAAGGUACUCUGGGGAUAACAGGCUGAUACCGCCCAAGAGUUCAUAUCGACGGCGGUGUUUGGCACCUCGAUGUCGGCUCAUCUCAUCCUGGGGCUGAAGCAGGUCCCAAGGGUAUGGCUGUUCGCCAUUUAAAGAGGUACGCGAGCUGGGUUUAGAACGUCGUGAGACAGUUCGGUCCCUAUCUACCGUGGGCGCUGGAAAUUUGAGAGGAUCUGCUCCUAGUACGAGAGGACCAGAGUGGACGAACCUCUGGUGUACCGGUUGUGACGCCAGUCGCAUCGCCGGGUAGCUAUGUUCGGAAGGGAUAACCGCUGAAAGCAUCUAAGCGGGAAGCCUACCUCAAGAUAAGAUUUCCCUAGGACUUUAUGUCCUCUAAAGAGCCGUUCGAGACUAGGACGUUGAUAGGUUGGAUGUGGAAGCAUAGUGAUAUGUGAAGCUGACCAAUACUAAUUGCUCGUGAGGCUUGACUAU
rnacentral:rRNA from 1 species